CAGCACCAGGCAGGUUCCUUCGGGAAGUUUUAAGGUGAUGGCGGCUGAGAAAGAGAUAGACGAAGAGACACAGACCGAAAAGGACCGAUGGAAAGGGUUGGCUUACGAUAUUUCGGACGACCAACAGGACAUUACUCGAGGGAAAGGGAUGGUGGAUUCCUUGUUCCAAGCUCCCAUGAAUGAUGGAACUCACUAUGCUGUCAUGAGUUCCUAUGAAUACCUCAGCCAAGGUCUUAAAACGUAAGUACUCUCCCACUCUCCUAUACCGGAGCGUUAUCGAUUACCAUCUACCUCUUAUAUGAUGAUUAUAUAUAAUUUU
rnacentral:lncRNA from 1 species